UCCGAGUUGACCCCGGCAGUCUCCUACGAGUCCCCGCCAUUACGCGCUGGCAACAUAGGACAAGGGUUGCGCUCGUUGCGGGACUUAACCCAACAUCUCACGACACGAGCUGACGACAGCCAUGCACCACCUGUGAAGGUCCGGCCGAACCGACCCCGUGUUUCCACGGGUGCGACCUACAUGUCAAGCCCAGGUAAGGUUCUUCGCGUUGCGUCGAAUUAAACCACAUGCUCCGCUGCUUGUGCAGGCCCCCGUCAAUUCCUUUGAGUUUCGGUCUUGCGACCGUACUCCCCAGGCGGAGUGUUUCACGCGUUAGCUGCGACACUGACGAGCAUGCUCGCCAACGUCUAGCAUUCAUCGUUUACGGCGUGGACUAC
rnacentral:misc_RNA from 1 species